CUUUUAAGGAAAAAAAGGGAGGGGGUUUUAGCCGUUAGGCGAGACAUAUGCAGUAUCGCGAUGCAAAUGUCUCGAGUCCGGCACUCCCCUAGAGUACGGGCUCUAGGGGGUCUUUUGAAGAUUUCCCCCUACCCUCG
rfam:Atta colombica isolate Treedump-2 unplaced genomic scaffold scaffold33, whole genome shotgun sequence.